rnacentral:rRNA from 1 species
GAUGAACGCUGGCGGCGUGCUUAACACAUGCAAGUCGAACGGUGAAGCAGGAGCUUGCUCCUGUGGAUCAGUGGCGAACGGGUGAGUAACACGUGAGCAAUCUGCCCUGGACUCUGGGAUAAGCGUUGGAAACGACGUCUAAUACCGGAUACGAGGCGUGGGGGCAUCCCCAACGCCUGGAAAGAACUUCGGUCCAGGAUGAGCUCGCGGCCUAUCAGGUAGUUGGUGAGGUAACGGCUCACCAAGCCUACGACGGGUAGCCGGCCUGAGAGGGUGACCGGCCACACUGGGACUGAGACACGGCCCAGAGUCCUACGGGGGGCGGCAGUGGGGAAUAUUGCACAAUGGGCGCAAGCCUGAUGCAGCAACGCCGCGUGAGGGACGACGGCCUUCGGGUUGUAAACCUCUUUUAGCAGGGAAGAAGCGAAAGUGACGGUACCUGCAGAAAAAGCACCGGCUAACUACGUGCCAGCAGCCGCCGCAGUAA